GGAGAAGUGGCAGAGUGUUUAUGCGGCUAACUUGAAAUUAGCUGAUGGGGGUUUAAUUCCUCUCUUCUCUU
rnacentral:tRNA from 1 species